UACGUAGGGGGCAAGCGUUGUUCGGAAUUACUGGGCGUAAAGAGCGUGUAGGCGGCUUUACAGGUCCGUUGUGAAAACUCGAGGCUCAACCUCGAGACGCCGGUGGAAACCGUAAAGCUAGAGUCCGGAAGAGGAGAGUGGAAUUCCUGGUGUAGCGGUGAAAUGCGCAGAUAUCAGGAAGAACACCCGUGGCGAAGGCGGCUCUCUGGGACGGUACUGACGCUGAGACGCGAAAGCGUGGGGAGCAAACAGG
rnacentral:rRNA from 1 species